UACAGAGGGUGCGAGCGUUGUUCGGAAUUAUUGGGCGUAAAGCGCUGGUAGGUGGUUGGACAAGUCGCGUGUGAAAGCUCCCGGCUCAACCGGGAAAGUGCGCGCGAAACUGUUUGACUUGAGUGCCGGAGAGGGUCGCGGAAUUCCCGGUGUAGAGGUGAAAUUCGUAGAUAUCGGGAGGAACACCAGAGGCGAAGGCGGCGACCUGGAAGGUGACUGACACUGAGCAGCGAAAGCGUGGGGAGCAAACAGG
rnacentral:rRNA from 1 species